ensembl:rRNA 5S_rRNA 5S ribosomal RNA
AUUUACUAUCUUGUUUGCCUGAACACACUGAUCUCAUCUGACCUCAGAAGCUAAGCAGUGUCAGGACUGGUUAAUACUUGAAUGAGAGAAAUACACUGUCACUCAUGAUGAAAACUUAGAAGUCGUAAAUC